CUUGCUAAAUACUAGCACUCAACGAUUUUGCCUCAUGCAACUUAAUUAUUUAUGAUUGUCUAUCCAUUUCUUGUGUUCCUGUAAGAGCUGCUCAAGUGUUGGGAUUCAGUAUUCAAUCAUUCAGACAGCGAUUUUGUAACAUGUUUUCAUUUCAUCAUAAAAAAUCACAGGUCAUAAAUUUGCAAAACAUAUAAACGAAUAAACGUUGUUGUACGUAUUCAACUAGGUACGUCAAUUUGAUUCCGAGAAAAAUCAUAGUAUUUCUUAUCACAAAGGCAUACACUCACAAAUGAAGCAUGCGCGUUACUAUGUCAUACAUCUUAGGGAAGUUGAAUUUUCCCUACGGAUUUAAUUUCAGUGCCACAUUAAAAGGGAAAAAAAAUCUAUGUAUGUUGAAUUAUUUGUAGGAUGUUGAUUGGCUAGCAAGUUUAUUGAUUUUGAAGUUAUAAAAUAUCAAAUACUACAACUGAAAUCAUGAGUGGAUGAAUCCACAAUGCGACUACAACACUAAUUAUAUUAUUCUAUAAAAAUGUAUGUAUAGAUAAUAACAUACCAAUAUAGGACAACUGCGGCUGUUCAAUAUAUAUAUAGUGACAUACAUAAAUAAGUUUGGUUCUGUUAGAAAUAAUUUCCAGAAUCACUUCUGCUAGUAGGGAAAACUUUUGGCAUACUUUUUUUUUUUUUUUUUCUAACGAUUUUUUCCUAAUUAUUUCGUUAUGUUUCGGCAAAUGCACAACAAAUUGGUAUGAGUGCUUGAGGGGAGGUUGUUUUAUUUUUAUAUAUUUUUUAUUUUUUUCAAUGAAGGGGCUGUUUUUGUGAAGUUCUUGGAGCCUGUUCAUGGUAAUCGAUCAAGGGUGACGAAAAUAGGUUUGGGUGCAGAUCCACUUGAGUUUUCGAAAAGGAUUUGAUCAAAAUCAAUGCAGAAUUUUCAGAAUUCAAAUUUCACACCAAUCACCAAGUCACCAGUGGGGUAGGCUGGAAGUUCUUCAAUUUCGAAGGUUAGGAUUAAUGAAAAGGGUGAAUUGAGACCAUUGGGUGUUAGGUCACUCAUGGGUUUCAUAAUGUUUGAUUGAUCAAGAAAGUUGAGUUGAAGAACAAAGACACUAGUUCUUGGGAGGAGGGAAAUUGAGUUGUUUCAUGGAAGAAAGCUGUGACGGUCUUGGUUAUUUGACACAAUAGAGGGGUGGUGCUUCAAGUGGUAAAUUGGCAUGGUUACAAAGAACAUAUUACUAUGGCGAGUUGAGUUUUGGUACAAGGUGGAGGCGUUGCUAAGAAAUAAAGAAUGUGGUUUCCAUUUUUCGGAAAGAGGCUUGCAAGUGAGGGAUACCUAGUCCUCGUACAAGAGGCUUGCCAUUUUGAGUCAAGAUACAAGAUUCGAUAAGAAGUGAUGGUCCACCGAGAUGGUUGUUUUGGUAUGGCAGAGAAGGGGGAGAGUAUCUCUAAAUGGGUGGGUGGAAUAUGGUGGCUUUGAGGUAGUAUCAAAUGUCGGAAAGUAUGUUGCUCAAAUUGAUAUGAAGAAGUUGGACAAUGAAAGUAGACGUGGAAAUUUUCAACAUAGCCUCGUGUCUUUGGUGGUGGACUAGUAUGAAGAUGUUCCUCAAGGUGGAGCUGAAGCAGGUUGUCCUUCGAUUGCUCAAGAUAGUCAUAAAGACGGGUUAACUGCCGAUUAGGUAUGGGUCCGAGGACAUAAAAUUCUUCUAGCCCAAUAAAACACAUAUAUUCCUACAUUGAAUUAUAUUCUACCACCCAAGGUUUUAAAAAUUAGGUUAAUCGUCUGAUUUAAAGGUUUUAUAAAUUGGUUUAACUGGCUGAUUUACUGGUUGAAUUAGAACCACGGUAGUGACCAAUUUAAUAAGUACCAGUUUUAUGCUAAUUCUAUGUCGGAGACAUUUGAUAGGUUUUUGAGAAAGUCCAGUUGAACCGGUUGUAGUGACCCAACUAAAACCCUUGAUAUGCGACUUAACCGGCUGGGCAACUUAGGACUUUUGAUAAUAUCUCACGCUUUAUAAUAAAAUACUUAUAUAAUCGGUAUAAUUUUAUAUAGAACGGAUCGGUUUUAAGUUGGGUUCAACCUAAUGGGUUGGGCCGGUUCCUAUGGGUCGGUUUUAAGUACUAAAACUGAACCUAGAACCCAUUUUCUCAUUUUUUAGAAGUUUAAAUCCAAACCCAACGGUUUGGAUUUGGUUUUGAUUUGUCGGUUUUGGUUUUGUCGGUUUUGGUUUUUCGGUUUUAGUUUUGCUCAACCCUACGUUUUGUAGAUUCAAGACUGCUAAAAGAUCUUACGAUCCUAUUGACUUCUCAAACACCAAGGGCAUGAAUUGGCUUCUCAAACACCAAACAACAUUUUUUUUCUACAAAAUAUUAGCGUUGUGUUGUAACUUUAGUUUAUUAUCUGUCUAUUUUUUUUUUGAACAACUGAUAUUUUAAGAGAAAGUUUGCAAAGGGUAACAAGAACUACAAAGGAAUAUGUAAAAUCAGGUUUGAAAGCCACACAACAUGACUAAUGCUAAAUUUUCUAUUCCUAAGAACAAACCAAUUAUAGGAAUAACCGAUCAAGCUAUCAAUCAACAUAUUCUAUUUCAUCUUUUGUCCUUUAAAGAUAAUAUUGUCCCUGAAGUUCCCAAGCAACAAACACAUAUCCAUGAUAAUGGCUUCAACAUCACAUCGUUCGACAACAAACAAGUGAAGCAAGUCGAUCCAGGUCACCACAUCUUCAAUUUCUAAGAAAGUAGGAAAAGUAACAUCGUAGUAUCGUAUCAUCUCCCAAGAAACUUACAAGGAUCGAUAGCCACCUCAUAAUGAAUGAGAAUAUGAUUGAUGUCUUCCAUGCCACCAUUUCAGAUCAAACAAACCACAGAAGGAACAUCCAAGCCUUUGUCAGCUAAGUUAAGACUAGUUGGUAAUAUGCUUAACCAACAUAUCCAAUUAAAUAUAUUAAAUUUAUGGGAGAUAUAUUUAUUGCACAUGAUAGACCGAGCUCCAUCUGUAAAAGAAGUAUCACCAAUAACUCUACAAGCUUUUAAAACUGUAUAAUCAUCGAGUUCACCAAAAUCCCACACCCACAUAUCUCUUGAAUAUGAGAACUUGAACUACAUGAUAAGGGUUUUUAACA